rnacentral:ncRNA from 1 species
UCUUAUCGAGAGAGGUGGAGGGAUGUGCCCUGCGAAGCCCGGCAACCGUCUUAUAAAGAAAUGGUGCCAAUUCACAUAAAGUUAACGCCGUUUAACUUUUGAAGAUGAG